rnacentral:tRNA from 1 species
GCAGUGGUGGUUCAGUGGUAGAAUUCCGGCCUUCCAUGCAGGAGACCCAGGUUUGAUUCCCAGCCAGUGCA